UACGUAGGGGGCAAGCGUUGUCCGGAAUUAUUGGGCGUAAAGAGCGCGUAGGCGGCCCAGUAAGUCCGCUCUGAAAGUCAGGGGCUCAACCCCUGGAUGCGGGUGGAUACUGCUGGGCUAGAGUCCGGAAGAGGAGAGUGGAAUUCCCGGUGUAGCGGUGAAAUGCGCAGAUAUCGGGAAGAACACCCGUGGCGAAGGCGGCUCUCUGGGACGGUACUGACGCUGAGACGCGAAAGCGUGGGGAGCGAACAGG
rnacentral:rRNA from 1 species